rnacentral:rRNA from 1 species
GAUGAACGCUGGCGGCGUGCUUAACACAUGCAAGUCGAGCGGAGAUAUAAAAAGGAAGCCCUUCGGGGUGGAAUUUUUACAUCUUAGCGGCGGACGGGUGCGUAACACGUGGGUAACCUGCCCCUAUCACUGGGAUAACACACUGAAAAGUGUGCUAAUACCAGAUAAUAUAAGCUUUUGGCAUCGUUAGCUUAUCAAAGAAUUUCGGAUAGGGAUGGGCCCGCGUCUGAUUAGCUAGUUGGUGAGGUAACGGCUCACCAAGGCAACGAUCAGUAGCCGACCUGAGAGGGUGAUCGGCCACACUGGAACUGAGACACGGUCCAGACUCCUACGGGAGGCAGCAGUGGGGAAUAUUGCACAAUGGGCGAAAGCCUGAUGCAGCAACGCCGCGUGAGCGAUGAAGG